AGUUCCGUGGUGCUCGAGAGGGGUUUUCGGGUCAGAUCAGACACGCUGCGGCUGUCUGUGGUUCUGCCUGGGCAUAGAGGAGCACCUCUCAUUACUCAUGUUCUUCCCCAUCUGGUGGCUUUGAGCAGAGAUUUGAGGGCACCUGAUGCGAACUGCAUUGCAGUCAGGGGUUGCUGUUGCUGGUUAAUACAGGGAGGUGUGAUUUAUUCCCAUUUCAUGUACCUCUCCAUUGCAGACCAGCACACACAGAAGGAAGAUGUGAUUUAGAGAGAGCAGGUCUGGAGAGGUUUGAAUCCUCCUGUGCAAGGAGCACAGGGCAGGCUGAGCUCCGGAGGGCUGAUGGGCAAUGUAUGUGAAAGAACUUGAAAAAUCAUGUGAAAGAACUUGAAAAAUCAGUCCUUUUUUUUUUUUUCUUUCUUCCAUGAAAUUUUUCAUUAAAGAAACUAUCAUUGAAAAUGUUUAAAAAAGAAAAAUUCUAAAUUUACAAAAUACAAAAAUGCUGCUUUUCCAGUAAGGCUUGAAAUUUACCAUCUGGAAGCAGUGGGAACAGAAACCAUCCGACUUUAACUUAAGUUGCAAUAUCAAUAACCUGGAUGUACAAAGGAAAAUUUUAUUACUCACUAGUGUCUGGAAGAAAAAUAAAGUACUAGAGCAAGUUUUGCCAUUGGGGACGAAGUCUUUCUCACAGCCAUAAGGGAAUCAAUAUCCUACUGUGAUCCCCCGUUACACACACAAAAUCAUACUGAGUAUAAAGAGUUCCCUGUUUGUUUUGCACAUGUAGGGCUGCUACCUCUGUUUCUUCCAGCUAAAGCAGCACAGGCACAUGCUGAGGAACUGCACACGUUCCCCUUGGUGCUAGGUGAAGGUGAGGGAUUUUAUCGGUUUUGCUUCCUGCGUGUACCACUAAGAUUGUCCUGUAGCACUAAGAACCCAUUGUAAGGCUGGAUGAAGGUGUAAAUUGGUUGAGGCCCUAGAUGUUACCCAUGUUGUGUGCUGCAGCUGCGAGGUGCCGAAAGCAGAGCGGGGAGGCAGCAUUCUUGGGGGGGAAGUUCUUCUUCAGCAAAUCCAUGUUGCACUUUGCACUUUCAUUUCUUCCUCCCCUAAGACAGAUUCCUUGUCCCUCUUGGUCUGUCACAACCCUGUCACGCUCCCAAAAAAAUGUGAGCAGCUGAUACUGAGUCACCAAGUGGAAAAUACAUAGCACGUCCAGGGAGGCUUGACUAAGAAGUAGGAGGAACAGGGGAGAUGAGAUAAAAAAAAUGAAGGAGCACAAUUUAACUUUAGCUCAGAAGGCUGAUUAGAGCACAGAGAUGUUCUUUAGCAUGGGGGGGUCUUGUAGAGCUUGUGGUUCAGCACUGAGGGUUGGGUGAAACCUUUGGUACUUUUAGGUGAAGAAGAGUUUUGCUGUUUUUCUGAGUAAAGCCAGGACUUCACCUUGGAAAUCUUGAAUGCAACUCUCAGCUCUUCCAUGGAUCUGAUGUUGCAGGAUUUAGGAUAAGGUGAGGAACAUUUCUUUCUGUGAUUCACCUCUACCAUCCAAAACCCUACGGUAAUUCCACCUCAUACUAACAUAGGCCUUUUUUCAUGGGAGGAAACACCCACUUCUUACAUGGUGGCCCAAGACUCUUUGAGGCAGGACAGGACUGGGUCACCGAGCCAGCGGGGGACACGAAUGAGACCCCAUGGAUGAACCAUAGUAGGGGUUGCUUGGCUAAAUCAUCACAGGUGCUCCCAAGGUAGCGUUGGCAGAGAGCAAACAGUAAUUAAUAUAACGGCUGUUAAAUGCAGAUGUUUCAAACCUCUCAACCUUGAAAAAAUAGGGAGAAGGAUUUUUGCAAAAUACUUCCUUUCCCGUCACUCUAAUGCUGUAUGUUCGGUGCACCUUCUUCUGAACCGAAGCGUCGCUCAGCCAAACUGAGACUUCCCAAACCAUUCAUCUGAAUAUUUCUGACUGAAAAGACUGUAAACAUCACAGUUCCCAGGUUAUUCGUUAGUCAAAUGCCCCCAAGACAACUGGGGGAUCUGUGAGAUGACAGCGGUUGUGUGGAAAGCCACACGGAGAAUCCCAGAAAGCCCCCUGCCAGUCGCUAUAACCAGUGUAGGUGCCACCUUUGGGGGUUAAUCUUGUUUGCCCAGGAACACCUCCAGAUAGCUUUGAUAACAAAUCAAGUUUUCUUGCUCAACUUCAUCACCAUUUCACACUUACUGCGUUCAUGUAGGCCAUAAACAAAAAGCUAAAGGGAGUGUACUUCAUUUAGGUGUUGCAGAGAGGUACAAAAAUGGUUAACCGGAGUAGUUUUGCCACAAAUGCCAACUGUCCUGCCUCCUGAUACCGUGGAGAUGCAAGACAUAAUAGGGACAGUAUGAUGCUGCAGAAAAAAAAUGGUCACAGCCCAACUUUCCUCUCAACCUCGAGGCAUGCAGUAUUUGAAUGGAACUAUUCUCUGGUGCCAGUGCCAUUUUUAAACAAUUUACAUUUCAAAUCUGUAACUGGAUUCAUAUCAGCCUGUGUAUGGGCUGAAAAAAACAAUCUCUAAUUUUCAUUGAUUUAGAAAAACGGUGCCUGUCUCCACAGUACGGGCCAGGAGUGGAAGCCCAAGCCCUGUUUUGAGCUAGGGUGCCAUGUAGCGUGGGACACGCCAGGUUACAAGGAGGGCAAUCUGUAUUUGGAAAUCAUCAGUGGCCAUCAGAGCAACUAGUGAUAGCCAAGGCAAAUUUGCCUGCAUUUUGUUCCAGCCUCCUCACUCUUUCAGUAUCCAGAUGCCUGCAUUUUGUAUAAAGAUGUGUUCAUACUCCUGUGUGUUCAAAACACCGGAUUUGACCACAGGCACAACAAGAGGGACACAGAGAUGCGUAUUGCUGCUUCUUUGACAUGGGUUUAGCAGCACGGUGUGGUCUGUGUCCUGCCUGCGUGUUUCCAUGGCGUGGAGUGUCUGCUGUGACCCACGGUGCACGCACGCAGGCAGGGACGGGGCUGCCCACUGUGAACGGUCCCAACCCUGGUACAUCAGGUACGUCCCAAUCCUGCCUGGGCCAGUUCUGGCCUCAGAAAAGCAGUUCCAGUCCCAAACCAAGCCAGAAGGCUGAUCAUUCAUCAGCACAACUGCAUUGAUGCCAGUGCAGACUAGCAGGAAAGACUCUAUCUCCAUGUACUUUUAAAUCAUCAAGCUAAUAAGUACCCUGGAUGAUAAGAUGUAAUCUUUUAAAUGCAGUAUGGAUUUCUUCCCCUGAAUUAUGCAUGAUAACAUCUUUAGGCGUGAGCUUUUUUUCCUUUUACUGGAGGAGCUGUGUGGUGGGGGUGGUGGUAAUCACUGCGGUUUACAAUUCGGGGGAAGCUCCCUAUUGCUAGACAAUCUCUGCUGACUUCCUAGGCGUCCUGGGCCCUGCCAGAGCAUCUCCAGGAGACGUGACGCUGUUAACCCACUGGUUCAACACGCUGACACUGGUCUCCAAGCAAAAGCAGCCAAAUUUCACAUUGCGAGAAAUUAACAGGGGAAAAGGGAAUGAAGACUAGGAUUUCAAAAGCAACUGGACAAAUUCAGAUCAAAUCUGGCCACGUUCAUUUCCCACCUGGUGCUCACUGGUUGCUCGGGGGUGUGUGGGGAUCACACAUACCAACAGGCAGCAGGCACCAAUUAAAACAAACGCUGUUUAAUUGUGAGGGUGGUCAGACACUGGAACAAGGUGCCCAGAGAGGCUGUGGAGGCUCCAUCCCUGCAGAUACUCAACACCCAGCUGGACAUAGUGCUGGGCAACCUGCUCAACUGACCCAGCCUGAGCAGAGGGGAUGGACGAGAUGAUCUCAACAUCCUUUCCAACCUCACCCAUUCUGGGAUUCUGCUUCCUGCUUCUUAUGCAAGUUUCUGACAAUUUUACUGGUUGCUUUGCAGCAAGGAGUGUAAUAAUAUCAAUAUUUAGCUCUUUCGCAGCAUUUUUCCCUCCUUGAUCUGCAGUGCCUUUAAUGAGGUUUGUGUUUCAACAGCUAAGAGAACUGGGACAGCAUGCAAACAAAUGAUUUGCUUAAUGAUUCAGGAAGAUAGGGGCAGAGAGACCCAAUUUUCCGAGUGUCACCUCCCAUUGCUGGACCGGCACUGCAACUGAAACGCCUGUGAAGUGGCAUUUCCAGAGAGGUGCUGGUGUAUCCAGCACCCGGUGCCAGCAGAGGCCGAAGGCGCUGGAUGCAGCGCUCGAUCCACGGCUGCAGCCCUUGGACCGUAAAUCACUGCAAAGGAGAGAUGCUUCUGCGCUUUGCCAAGGAGACAAUGGCGCAGGCAGCUCUGCUCCGGUGAGCUCAGCUCAACCACAAACAAGCAAGCUGGUGCUUUAAUGAAGGCGUAUUCGCAAGUGCUAAAAACAGACUUUACCCACCAUUGCUUCAACCUACAGGUCUAGUUUCUGCAUAUCACAUUAUAUUUUUAUUAUUAUUAUUAUUUUUCUCAGUGCUUCUACUGCAGGUCUCAGAUUUGGUCAAGUUGCAAUGUAUAAACGCAGAAACAUUCUUCAUUAUUAUUAUUAUCAAUCCUUAGACUGAAGUUUCUGAUUUAAAAAAAAAAUAAAUCCUUAACUAAAGCUUACACUGCUGUGAUUUGACAUCUUGAUGUCUUUUGAUAUAUUGACAAGUACACCUUUAUAAAAAAAAGUACCGAAUUUCCUAAUGAAUAUUGCAAAUGAGGCAGAAGAGCAGAUGUGUGUGCAUGUUGACAGACACACAAGCACAGAGCUCCCGCUUCAUGUAUUUGCUUAAAUCCCAAAUCCUGGCAAAUAGGAAUGAUCUGUUUGUUACUCUUUUGGUGAUUUGAAUACACGGACUGUGUUUAUAUGGAACAGAGGAAACAAGCAAUGGCCAUUUAUGGACGAUUAAUCACAACCACGGAUUCUUUAUUUCCUAUUUAUGGAUGAUACUGUGGGCUGAAUUUUAAUGGGCUCUCACUGUGUUGGGUUUUGGUGUUUCUGCUUUCAGCAGUUAACACGUUAGAGAUAACCAAAAAUGAAUGGCUGUGGACCGGGAUCGCUCUCUGGUUUUAGCAAAGACUUUGCUUACUUUGCUUCAGGGAAGGAACAAAAUAAUGUCUUGUGAGUGUGGGCUUCUGGGAAGGUAACUUGGAAAUGGGUGAAGUUAGUGGUAACAUCACAUAACAGUUUAACAGUGAGCCGAGUUCAACUAAAACCAGCUCUGAGCCCAGAUUUCCACUGUCUCUGCAAAUGAGCAUGUGGGUUGUAGCUUGAAAGGCUGGCAGAGUGAAUGCUGUGAGACUAGGCAGAGCUCAGCAAGGCUCACUUCAGUACUAUUGCACGAAUGGCUCCUUUGUUCUUCCUCGGUUUUUAAGUUAAACACACAGUACGGCAGAAUGCUCUUAAGCAGAGGCCCAAUCUUCAACCUUCUGUUCAAGGAGUGAAGAAUAAUUAACAGAGCCCUUAUGUCUUCUCCUUGGAUGAUGCUCAGUUUGACCUUUACAGUACUAAAGUGGUAUUAAGAUAAGAAUCAUGUACUGUAUCCUGACCUCAGUUUCACCAUGGUGCAUCUGAAUCUGGAGGCAGACCACUAAAGUAAUUAGAAUUGACUGGGACUAAGACUGGUGCACGUGGUGUUUGAUAUUUCUGGCGUUUAUAUCCAAGCAGGAUCCAUUACAUCACCCCACACCUGCCCCCUGCACGCUGCACAAAAUGUGUUUAUUACGUGUGGCGCUAAUCGCACAGCAGGCGAUUAAAAUGCAGAGCAUUUUAAAAGUCAAAUUGGCCUUUUACAUCACAUAAUUUGGGAUGGGGGCCAGAUUGUUCUGGAUGAUUUAGAUACCUAACUCAAUCAAUGAGUAUGAGACAUCGAAAUGCCUUUGGAAAAAAAAAAAAACCUGCAGUCCCUAAUCUUUAAAUUUCAUCUUUAAUUUUGGAGUGAAAUUGGUGCUUAGAAAAUAUAGGGAGGGCAGGGAGAGAAGAGUCCAGUGAGCAAAGCUGAAAUCUCGCUGAGCCAAAGAGGAGAUGGGGAAUUAGGAGGCAGCUCCGGCUGCUCGCCCGCGGGAUACGUUCCCAGCGUCGAUGCAGGGGGAUGACGCCAUCCAGCCCCUACAAAUCUACAGUCCUUUCAAACCAGGACCCCUGGCUGACAGACACUUUUCCAGGCAUUAAGACUCCGGCAGCCCAACCAAAGUACAAGAUCAAGCAAGUAAAUUUGAAGGAGUUACUUUAUUACUGAUAACGUUGCCUCUGCCAGAUAGUUAAACCCACGCUUCAGUUAAACCCACCGAACCAAACGCCACGCUGCAAUUCAGUCGGGAAAAGCAGCUUGCCCUAAGAUAUGAUACCGGACAAGCAAAAUUAAUGAUUUUGAGACGUAUCAUCAUAGGAAGAAUGUGAGGAUUUUUUUUUUCUUCUUUUUAUUUGGACUCUUGAGAUUCUUCUCUGGGCUACUGUCUAAAGCCCAAUUUUGUUCAUGCUGCUGGGAUCCAGUUUUCACACCAGGCCUCUGAAAAGGACGCAGCCUUAUACUCUGCCAUACACAGUGGGCCAACUGGAGAAAAGCCACUUCACCGAUGGGUGUCGCUCAAUGAUGGCAGGAAUUUAAGGGAUUUUCACGAAAUGAGGAUUUAGCCCACAAGGGCACUUGUGGACGUGGAGCCUAUUUAGAGAUUCGGAGGCCUGAGACUGCAGAAAACCACUCUGGAAUUACCCGCUGGCCUCAGGUUGUGCUUUGCGUUGGGAGGGGAUGCUCCAGCUGUCUUGUCUGGAGCAACCAACAGAUCUCAGUCUUCAGAGCUGCCAACACUCCAGCACUGGAGUCUAAGUUGUGACUCAAGGUGGGAUUUGCAGAGCAGGAGGUGCUGUGCAAAUACAGUGAUGGAGAUAAUAGUUUCUUUCAUGAUGCACAAAUGAUUUGGGGUUUUCUCAGGGUCUCACUCGCUUGCCCGGUUUGAGAACACGGCUUGUUUGGGCACGUGUGGCUGAGCGUUCAACAAAGAGCACACACGUGUGCAUGGGCAGCCCGAUGUUAACAGGAGAUUUCCAUCAAUUCCCGAGCACAGUCAGUUUGUCCUGGGCUACAUUUAGAAGGUAUGAACAGCACGGAAAUGAAGGUCUGCUCCUCGUGAGUAACAACUAAUCUAUUUUAUGUAACAUGCUAUAAUGAAGAUUAUCAGAGCUGCAUUCACAAUUUCCAAGUCCAAUUCUUUUUUAUUCUAUUAGGCAUUAAACUUUCAGAUCCCACACGUGGCUUUGAAAAUCUCAGUUUGUAGGUCAGGAACAUCACAGAGAUGUGUAACAAUUUACUCCUUGCCACAGGCUUUGUCCGCAAACAGACACAGAUGGGACUCCAACAAUGGAUGCUGGCCAACAACCAACACUUUGUACCUUCCAAGCCCUGGUACCACAACACAAUGUAUGUGGGAACCGCGGCCAAGGACCCAGCCCAGGGCCACUCUUAUUUCAUCUCGUUGCUCUUGCUACCCUCUGGCUUCUAGGGAACACCAUAUUAGAGCAGCGAUUUGAUCCUCAAGGAUUGGACCAUGAAAGAUGCAAAGCAAACCAGCACGGUUCCUCUUCAACAGUCAAGCAAAUUAAUCUAAAUUCAGAUCACUGUUCAAAGAUGUGAAAACUGCGGAAGAAAAGACUAAAAAUUGAACUAGAGUACAAGCCAACAGGUCAAUGAAGACACAGCUCAUCAUGCAAUGGCCUGUGCCCAUGUGUCAGCCAAAAAGGAGUCAGAGGAGGAUGUGCCUUCAGUCUGCUGGUUUUCGGCCUCCAACAGGCCCUCCCAAGUCACAGCAGGACAUCUAGAGUCAUCUUUCCGCUGCUGUGAGGGUUCACCACCUCAACUGAGCUGACCACAGCGCAUGGAGAAAAAGAUAGCACUGACCCUCCAGAAGCCAUCGGAUGCAGCAGCAUCGGGCUGGUGAGAGGUUUUACCUGGCAAUGAAGUUCAUCAGGAAAUAACUGGAAGGAAUACAUCUGGAAACACCCAGUGCCAGCUCCGUUCUGGGCUCUAAUGACACAUUCCAAACCUUUGAAUUUGGGGAAGGAGCGUUAUUGAUGCAACACGUUAAACAACCUUAACACCAGUGAGCAAUGGCACCACUGUAACACUUGUUUAUUAGGAAAAUGCAUCUGAUCUCAAAGGCCUGCAUGACAAGUUCAUUACAUAUCAAUUUAAUUAGCUGAUUUACAUUUAAUUUACAUUUCAAUUAAUGUCUUUAGCAACAAAACGUUGCCUUAAUAGGGUAAUUGCCUGUUAGGCAAUAUGUAAAAGAAUAAAUAGUCACAUUCUGAGGAAGAAUUCCUAUUUUCAAUUUUUUAUUACCAUAAAUAACCUAAAUAAUUAUUGCUCUUAAGGGGCCACGUCCCAGUUCCCUUCUGGGCCUAAUUAUAAAGACUUAGUACCUCAUUAAGCAAAAUGGUUUCGGAGUCACAGAAAAGCAUUACUCUAAUCGUGACUCAUUAGUUUCAACAAAAGAGGGGAAAACUGCAAAAGUCGGCACAUUUCACCAUAUUAUUCUUGUGGUUCAUAAGCAGCAGAGAAGUGGCUGUUACGGCUGUGGAGGCGUUUCCGUCAUGAAGCCCUAUUUUCAGAUUAUUGGUUUUUGGUGUAACUUUGAUCAUUAAGACAGAGUCAUGUCCGACUGGAAAAGCUGGCACGUGUGGCCCUGGCAUGGAGCAAGUAGCCUGGGUUUUCUGUUUGCUGAGAGCUCAUCUCUUCCCCUCGUGGCCACAUGGCUGGUGACUUGGUUUGAGGCUGCAGCGUUGGAUACAUCUUCUACCAUGCCAGAAGGGUUGUGCUUUCAUCACCAAAAUGCACCCUCUGGCAAUCCGAUGUACAACACUCAUCUCGUACACGCUCGCUCUGCUGGUUCAAAUGUGUGUGUAAAAGCAGGGAAGGUUUGGCAUGGCGCUGGCGGGUUUUCUGCUACAUUGUGUGUUGACCCUCUGUGCCACUCCAGCGCUCCGCUGGAUCCAGCAUCGCCUGUCCCUCAGCAGCCAACAGUGAAGCACGAAGCUGCCGCAGACUCUGUGCCAGGAGCUCUGCCUGGUUUCACAGUAUCACAGUAUGUUUGGGAUUGGAAGGGACCUCAAAAGAUCAUCCAGUCCAUUCCCCCUGCUGGAGCAGGAACACCCAGGUAGUUAAAGUGGCAGCAUAGAAACGUUCAGCGACAUUCCAUACCUCAGAGCUGCACGCAGAACCCCUGCCCUCGCAGCCCAGCCAGCCCACUCCAAGGGCUCCUGACGCCAGUGGGGGUUGUACUGGAGUUUGCAACUCAUCUUCAACCCCAAGGUCUCCAGCCAAUUCCAGGUUCCUGCGCAAACACCGCUCGAUGCCGGGCCAGGUUAGCUGCUGUAGCUCCCCCAGCUCCAAAGGCUGUUCAUCUGGACUGCGUGCCUGCGCAAAUUUAAUGCCAGACACGGGGCACGUUCUAGUUCCUCAUGGCUUCAUUUUCCUAGAAGACGGUGCUCCGUGUAGGGCAGUGAAAAAGAAAUCAGAUGGGAGCCACUUUGUUCUAGUACUAAAUGCACCCUUUCAGCAGGCUAAGGAAAUCAGUGCUGUUCUUGGGAGAGAAAAAGAGACAGAAGCUUCUGCUUCCAAAGAGAAGGCCUUAUUACCCUAAGACGUUAAUUGCUGAGGACUUAGAUCUGUCUCCUGGUAUUCUGCAUUUUAUUUUUGCUCCUACACUUGACGGAUCUGGAAUUCUCUUCGGAGCUGCUAACUCAAUUUUUGCCUUUUAAAGCUCAUUUAAAACCUUUCCUACUUCCCCGUGCCUGUGAUUAACACUAAUCCACUCUACCCUUUAUUUUCCUGCAGCUGCUUAUAUUCGCCCCUUGCUGCAGCCUGCAAGGAUUCUAAUUGGCACCUGCUCUUCUUUUCGGGUGCUCAUUUUUCUUUCCUCCUGCUCCGUUUUCUCUCUGUUGCCGUCUGGGCUGCUCUGUGCCAUCCUGCUAUACUUUCCAGCCCAGAUCUGCCUAGUGCUGUAAAGGAUUUGAUGAUUUUCUUUAGGAAGGACUCUAACAAUAGCCCAAUCCUGCCCCUUUACAAAUCUUCUGUACAAUGGAAAAACAAAUGUUCUGCCCUCCAGAGUGAAUUCCAUUGAAAAUCAAAAGUUCUUGUUAAAAAAAAUACUAAUAAUCCCUCUCUGUUCCUGAAGGAUUGGAGAAAUUUUAAAAGAGCAAUGUUAUAAUUUAUGGGGAAUUUGAGCAUAGAUCUCAGAGCUCCCUAUGAGACAGAGUAACUUCAGCUAUUAUUUAAAGGAAGUGUUUCAGUUUUCUUCUCUAACAGCAAGCAACAAUUUUAUAACACAGAAACAAGCCAGCCAGAAAGUCCUUGAGGUUCUCUAGUGACUUUGCUGUUGUCAAUCAAAUUAACAUGGAAGAUGCUUGAACGCUGCUACUUUAAUGGGCAGAGGGACAAAACGCCUGACACACUGCAGAGAGGCUUUUGAAAAACAAGUGCCUAGAUGCCAUCUGAGCUGGAUGCGGCUAAGAGAAGCCAGAGCCCAGGACUGUAAUGGGAUGUGAUGGAUUCUGAGCUUUUGCUGCCAUUUCAGGUGGCCAAUGCCAACACUGAUUCCUCAGCUGGUGCCUCAGCCUGGCUGCCCAGUUGAGACGCUCUCCCCCAAGCCUGGUGGCUGACACUCACCUCCUGCCCCUGCUCACGAGUCAAGCCAACAAGCCAGCCCCGAGGAGCCGGGAGCCACAUGUGCCUUUGUGCUCAGAGCCCCGAGCACCAGCUCCCAGCCAGUAGUUCAGAGCCCUCUCCCCUCAGCUCUGCUCACUAAGCAGCACUUUACCAUUUACUUCUGCACAUGCUCUACAGAAUCACAAUGUUUACAGACAGGACAUAUUGUUAGACUGGUAGGGUAGCCUCCCGUACCUCACGGACCAUUAAAUACUGUUGUCACUUUUCUUUUUGUUUGACUAAAAUAUGUUUUGUUUUGAAAAACGCACUUCUUGAGUCAGAUCCUCAUUUUCCUUCAGUAUUGUCAGAAGACAGAGAAUUCACUUUCCCCUUGAUAGCUUGUUCCAGUGGUUACUCGCUUUCUCUGUUACCAUAUAAUGCUCAAUAUCUAAUUCCAUUUUUUCUAGCUUCAGCUUCUAGCAACUGCCUCUUGCUCUGCCUUUUCUAGUUAUUUAAAAAUCCAUUUUAUAUCUUGCAUUUUUCAGUUCAAAGGUACGUAUUCACAGCAUUUGGCCUUCCGGCCAGGCCCCUGUGCUCCCGCAGCUGGAGCUGGAGCCACCGCAGCUCCCGGUCCAUGGGCAGCGGUUCUGCGCAGAACACGGGCGCCCUUCUGUGCUCCUCCAAGCCGGCUGCUCUGAGCUACUGCAGGACCAGAGCCAUCAUCUCUGGGGUGGCAGAAGAAUGGACAAGAUGAGCUGGUAAUUUCUGCUUCCUCCAUGACCAUCGUCUUGAGCUGCUUUGCCAACCCAACAAUGUUCUUUUCUUCGCUUUUUAAAUACAAAGCCGUGCAUGCAUAAGGAAUAAAACACUCUUAAUUUAUUCUGCAAAAGUGUUCAUCAAGUGAGAGACAGGACUUUGGGAAAAGAUUAAGAGCUUACAUUUUUCAUUUGACUUAUUUCACAUAAAAUUUCAUAGAGGAUAAAAUGAUGGGAGGCAAAGAAGCAAUGAUAUUUCUGUUUUAUCUCUGUCUAAGGACCAUAAAUCUUUCUGAAGUAUCAUUAAUUAUAGCUGCGCCAUUCACAACGCUAUUGUUAAGGGUCUAUCAGCGGUCCCACUAUAAGCCCCUAUUUUCAGGGUUUUAUAACUUGGUUAGAAGAAUUGUGUUUCGGGCAAAAACUUGGCUGGGGCAAAGUCUCCAUCUAAGACCUUUUUUUUUUAAUGUAAAACACAAAGGGAGGUGUUACCUGUUCUGAAUUGAGUAAGGGAGAGCCCAGGGAUUUUCUAGGGGCACAAAGCUAAUGCCAUCUUGGCUGAUUCUAUCUGUACCAUUCGUGAAUUCCUAAGACUGUAUCCACAGAAGUUAUCCCUUAGCUUAAUUUAGAUCAUUCCUUUAAAAUGCAAGUUCCCAAUUACUGCAACUGAAUUCAAGAUCUGCAAUAUUCCUCUAGUGGCUGUAAUCAAAUUGGAUUUGAUUUCUUCUUUAGCUGCAGCCAGUCAAGAAUGAAUUGAGCAGACCUGGGAAAUGGCUUACAUGUUAAAAAAAACUUCAGUGUCACUACGUAGCUUUUUGGGGGGGGGUGCGUGGUUUUUUUGGCAUUUUCAAUUGUUGCUGCAUUCAUGACAUACAUUAAGAAUCAGUGAAGUUAAUGGUCACAUCCCCCAAAUGAGUACUGGCUUAGCAGCAGUACAGAGGAAUUGCUCUGACAGGGCUGAGCCACAGUGAAAUGCUAGAGGGGUGUUGAGUUUCUCCAGAUACGUAGUGAAAAUGCUCUUCAGCAGGCACUAGCGAGACUAGGGGUGCACGGGAAAGUGUUGGGGAUUGGCUCAAGGAGCAUGGACAUGAGUCCACCAAGCAACUGUACGAGCAGAGCCCAUUUUAGUUGACAUGAGUAGGCCUCAGUUAGCAUGAGUCUGGUGUAGCAUAGUGGAAAAGUACUGAGCGGUUGCUCUCUGGUUCAGCUGAGCGUUUAGAUAAACAAGCUGGGGAAUUAUCUCUAGCAGGGUGAGGAGGUUGCAUUCCAGAGAAACCACAAGAAGGUUGAGCUCAUUAUGUAUACUAUCCAAUCAAUAGAAGACGAGUAGGCAUAAUUAUUGUAUACUAUCCAAUUAAUAGAAGACGAGUAGGCAUAAUUACUGUAUACUAUCCAAUUAAUAGAUGACGAGUAUGCAUAAUUAUUGUAAGUCUUAUAUAAACCAGCUUAGUGCAUCAAUAAAGUUGAAGUAUGCUUUAUCACU